rnacentral:rRNA from 1 species
AGUGAACGCUGGCGGUAGGCCUAACACAUGCAAGUCGAACGGCAGCACAGUAAGAGCUUGCUCUUACGGGUGGCGAGUGGCGGACGGGUGAUGAAUACAUCGGUAUCUACUUUUUCGUGGGGGAUAACGUAGGGACACUUACGCUAAUACUGCAUACGACCUACGGGUGAAAGCAGGGGAUCUUCGGCCCUCGCGUGAUUGAAUGAGCCGAUGUCGGAUUAGCUAGUUGGCGGGGUAAAGGCCCACCAAGGCGACGAUCCGUAGCUGGUCUGAGAGGAUGAUCAGCCACACUGGAACUGAGACACGGUCCAGACUCCUACGGGAGGCAGCAGUGGGGAAUAUUGGACAAUGGGCGAAAGCCUGAUCCAGCCAUGCCGCGUGGGUGAAGAAGGUCUUCGGGUUGUAAAGCCCUUUUGGUUGGGAAGAAAAGCAGCAAGUUAAUACCCCGCUGUUCUGACGGUACCCAAAGAAUAAGCACCGGCUAACUUCGUG